UAUGUUGAGGCUGGGACUGGGAUAGUGGGUACGGAAGUAUGGUAUGUUGAGGCUGGGACUGGGAUAGUGCGUAUGGAGGUAUGGUAUGUUGAGGCUGGGACUGGGAUAGUGGGUACGGAGGUAUGGUAUGUUGAGGCUGGGACUGGGAUAGUGGGUAUGGAGGUAUGGUAUGUUGAGGCUGGGACUGGGAUAGUGGGUACGGAGGUAUGGUAUGUUGAGGCUGGGACUGGGAUAGUGGGUAUGGAGGUAUGGUAUGUUGAGGCUGGGACUGGGAUAGUGGGUACGGAGGUAUGGUAUGUUGAGGCUGGGACUGGGAUAGUGGGUAUGGAGGUAUGGUAUGUUGAGGCUGGGACUGGGAUAGUGGGUACAGAG
ensembl:lncRNA